rnacentral:rRNA from 1 species
UACGUAGGGACCAAGCGUUGUUCGGAUUUACUGGGCGUAAAGGGCGCGUAGGCGGCAAUUCAAGUCAUCUGUGAAAUCUCCGGGCUUAACCCGGAACGGUCAGAUGAUACUGCUUUGCUAGAGUGCGGAAGGGGCAAUCGGAAUUCUUGGUGUAGCGGUGAAAUGCGUAGAUAUCAAGAGGAAAACCUGAGGUGAAGACGGGUUGCUGGGCCGACACUGACGCUGAUAGCGCGAAAGCCAGGGGAGCAAACGGG